rnacentral:rRNA from 1 species
AGGGUUCGAUUAUGGCUCAGGAUGAACGCUGGCGGCGUGCUUAACACAUGCAAGUCGAGCGAGAAAUUUAUCAUUGAACCUUCGGGUGAUUUGAUAAAUGGAAAGCGGCGGACGGGUGAGUAACGCGUGGGUAACCUGCCCUAUGCAGGGGGACAACAGUUAGAAAUGACUGCUAAUACCGCAUAAGACCACAGUAUCGCAUGAUACAAGGGUAAAAACUCUGGUGGCAUAGGAUGGACCCGCGUCUGAUUAGCUAGUUGGUGAGGUAAUGGCUCACCAAGGCGACGAUCAGUAGCCGGCCUGAGAGGGUGGACGGCCACAUUGGGACUGAGACACGGCCCAAACUCCUACGGGAGGCAGCAGUGGGGAAUAUUGCACAAUGGGGGAAACCCUGAUGCAGCGACGCCGCGUGAAGGAAGAAGGUUUUCGGAUCGUAAACUUCUAUCAGCAGGGAAGAAAAUGACGGUACCUGACUAAGAAGCCCCGGCUAACUACGUGCCAGCAGCCGCGGUAAUACGUAGGGGCAAGCGUUAUCCGGAAUCACUGGGUGUAAAGGGUGCGUAGGCGGCGAGAUAAGUCAGAUGUGAAAACCCGAGGCUCAACUUCGGGAUUGCAUUUGAAACUAUUUUGCUAGAGUGCAG